UACGUAGGGUCCGAGCGUUGUCCGGAAUUACUGGGCGUAAAGAGCUCGUAGGUGGUUUGUCGCGUUGUUCGUGAAAACUCACAGCUUAACUGUGGGCGUGCGGGCGAUACGGGCAGACUUGAGUACUGCAGGGGAGACUGGAGUUCCUGGUGUAGCGGUGGAAUGCGCAGAUAUCAGGGAGGGAACACCGGUGGGCGAAGGCGGGUCUCUGGGCAGUAAACUGACGC
rnacentral:rRNA from 1 species